GACGAACGCUGGCGGCGUGCUUAACACAUGCAAGUCGAACGGAAAGGCCCUGCUUUUGUGGGGUGCUCGAGUGGCGAACGGGUGAGUAACACGUGAGUAACCUGCCCUUGACUUUGGGAUAACUUCAGGAAACUGGGGCUAAUACCGGAUAGGAGCUCCUGCUGCAUGGUGGGGGUUGGAAAGUUUCGGCGGUUGGGGAUGGACUCGCGGCUUAUCAGCUUGUUGGUGGGGUAGUGGCUUACCAAGGCUUUGACGGGUAGCCGGCCUGAGAGGGUGACCGGCCACAUUGGGACUGAGAUACGGCGCAGACGCCUACGGGAGGCAGCAGUGGGGAAUAUUGCAGAAUGGGCGGAAGCCUGAUGCAGCAACGCCGCGUGCGGGAUGACGGCCUUCGAGUUGUAAACCGCUUUCGCCUGUGACGAAGCGUGAGUGACGGUAAUGGGUAAAGAAGCACCGGCUAACUACGUG
rnacentral:rRNA from 1 species